rnacentral:rRNA from 12 species
UAGCAUGGCCACACCAGGGUACGAGUGCCCAAGAGCAUCUGCUCUUGGAAACUAAGCAGGGCCGUGCCUGGUUAGUACUUGGAUGGGAGAUCAACGUGAAAGACCAGUGGCCGCUAUCCUCA